rnacentral:tRNA from 1 species
GCAGGUAUGGCCGAGUGGUUAAGGCGUCUGACUCGAAAUCAGAUUCCCUCUGGGAGCGCAAGUUCAAAUCUUGCUGCCUGCG